rnacentral:rRNA from 1 species
GACGAACCUGACAAACGUUAUUCGGAAUUACUGGGCUUAAAGGGUGCGUAGGCGGCGCGACAAGUUGGGUGUGAAAUCCCCUCGGCUCAACCGAGGAACUGCGCUCAAUACUGUCGUGCUCGAGGGAGACAGAGGUGAGCGGAACUUAGGGUGGAGCGGUGAAAUGCGUUGAUAUCCUAAGGAACACCGGUAGCGAAAGCGGCUCACUGGGUCUUUCUGACGCUGAGGCACGAAAGCUAGGGUAGCGAACGGG